GAAUUUGAUCUUGGUCAGGAUGAACGCUAGCUACAGGCUUAACACAUGCAAGUCGAGGGCAUCAUGAUCUAGCUUGCUAAGAUUGAUGGCGACCGGCGCACGGGUGAGUAACGCGUAUCCAACCUUCCUGUACUAGGGGAUAGCCCGGCGAAAGUCGGAUUAAUACCCGUAUGUUUUCCGAAGCGAGCAGUUUAAUUUGGAACAAAGGUUUACCGGUAUAGGAUGGGGAUGCGUCUGAUUAGAUAGUAGGCGGGUAACGGCCACCUAGUCGACGAUCAGUAGGGGUUCUGAGAGGAAGGUCCCCCACAUUGGAACUGAGACACGGUCCAAACUCCUACGGGAGGCAGCAGUGAGGAAUAUUGGUCAAUGGGCGAGAGCCUGAACCAGCCAAGUAGCGUGCAGGAUGACGGCCCUAUGGGUUGUAAACUGCUUUUAUAUAGGGAUAAAGUGAGGGACGUGUCCCUUAUUGUAGGUACUAUAUGAAUAAGGACCGGCUAAUUCCGUGCCAGCCGCUGC
rnacentral:rRNA from 1 species